GUUGAAACACCAGUUCCCAUAUGAUCACCAAAGUUAAGCAAUGUCAAGCCUCGUCAGUACCUAAAUGGGUGACUGCUUGGUAAUACCAGGUACUGUAA